GACGAACCGUGCUAACGUUAUUCGGAAUCACUGGGCUUAAAGGGCGCGUAGGCGGGCUCACAAGUCAGGGGUGAAAUCCCUCGGCUUAACCGGGGAACUGCGUCUGAUACUGGAUGGCUUGAGUUCGGGGAGAGGGGAUGCGGAAAAUUCCAGGUGUAGCGGUGAAAAUGCGUAGAUAUCUGGAGGAACACCGGUGGCGAAAGGGCGGCAUCCUGGGACCCGAUACUGACGCUGAGGGAGCGAAAGCCCAGGGAGCAAAAGCGGG
rnacentral:rRNA from 1 species